GAGGAUGUGUGGAUAUAUAGCUCAUGAGAGAUGAACCCCAUACAUGAGAAAGAUUAUUACACACACUGAAGCAUGGACAUGUUAACUGCCUUCCUCUUCAUAGCAAUAUCCAUCACAGAAUCCAGUGGUCAGACACUGACUGAGUCUGAGUCAGUGGUUCUUAAACCUGGAAACUCCCACAAACUGACCUGCACAUACUCUGGGUUCAGCAGCGAUCCUACCAUGGCUUGGGUCAGACAGGCUCCUGGAAAGGGCUUGGAAUGGCUUUCUGAAAUACAGAUCACAACAAUAUAUUAUGCUCAAACAAUUCAGGGAAGAUUCACCAUCUCCAGAGACAACAGCAAGAAGCAGGUGUAUCUGCAGAUGAACAGUCUGAAGACCGAGGACACGGCUGUGUAUUACUGUGCCAGACAGUCACAGUGGCACAAUAUGCUGCAGAGAUGAACAAAAACAUCAGACUCCUCUAUUACCAUUGUGUUAUUUAUUUGGCCUCUCCCUCUAUGUAUUUUGCCUUCCCCCACUGUGUGUGCAAUACUCAACAUUCCAUUUAAUAUCCUUGCAAUGAUGAUGAACAAAAAAAUAUGUAUUUACAUAAAAACUGUUAAUGCAUCAAUUAAUGUUUGUUGUGUGUAGGGCCGUAUUAAGCCCUUCUGUGUACACACACAAAACCACACAUAAACACGCAUGUGAUCCCAGCAUACUUGAUUUUAGAACGUGUUUCACCAAACAAAGUGAACACAUAGGCCACACUUUUUUGUCUAAGUUUAGUACAAAACUGUUCAUUCUAUGCUCAUUCAUGUCCAGCCCCUCUGCUGUUUUACACAGCAAUUUGUUAUGCAAAGCUGACAAACACCCACCCAGUUUCCAGUUAAAGGAGGCUGGUUCCUCUGUUCCUGAUGUCACUAGAGGGUAGCAAAGCUCCCCAACAC